rnacentral:rRNA from 1 species
UACGUAGGGGGCAAGCGUUGUCCGGAAUUAUUGGGCGUAAAGGGCGCGUAGGCGGCCGAUCAAGUCGGAGGUGAAAUCCCUCGGCUCAACUGAGGAAUUGCCUUCGAUACUGUUCGGCUUGAGUCCUGGAGAGGGUAGCGGAAUUCCCGGUGUAGCGGUGAAAUGCGUAGAGACCGGGAAGAACACCAGUGGCGAAGGCGGCUACCUGGACAGGUACUGACGCUGAAGCGCGAAAGCUAGGGGAGCGAACAGG